rnacentral:siRNA from 1 species
UGAAGUGCAUGAUUGGCGCCGAC